AGGUUAAGUGAAUAAGGGCGCACGGAGGAUGCCUUGGCACUAGGAGUCGAAGAAGGACGCGACAAACGGCGAAACGCCUCGGGGAGCUGUAAGUGAGCUUUGAUCCGGGGAUAUCCGAAUGGGGAAACCCGCUAGUGGUUAUACGCUAGCACCAUAUGGUGAAUACAUAGCCAUAUAGGAGACAGACCCAGGGAACUGAAACAUCUAAGUACCUGGAGGAAAAGAAAGAAAAAUCGAUUCCCGUAGUAGCGGCGAGCGAAGUGGGAAGAGCCCAAACCGGCACUAGCCGGGGUUGUAGGACCUUCAUAAUUGACAAAUCAUGAUAGCCGAGUGGUCUGGGAAGGCCAACCGGAGAGGGUGAGAGUCCCGUAGGUGAAAUUGUGAAAUGCAUGGAAGGAAUCCUGAGUACGGCGGGACACGUGGAAUCCCGUCGGAAUCAACGAGGACCAUCUCGUAAGGCUAAAUACUACCUAGUGACCGAUAGUGAACCAGUACCGUGAGGGAAAGGUGAAAAGAACCCCGGAAGGGGAGUGAAAGAGAACCUGAAACCGUGUGCCUACAAAUAGUCAGAGCCCGUUAAUGGGUGAUGGCGUGCCUUUUGUAGAAUGAACCGGCGAGUUACGAUAUCGUGCGAGGUUAAGCAGAAGAUGCGGAGCCGUAGCGAAAGCGAGUCUGAAUAGGGCGAAGAGUACGAUGUUGUAGACCCGAAACCGUGUGAGCUAGCCAUGAGCAGGCUGAAGGUCAGGUAACACUGACUGGAGGGCCGAACCAGGGCACGUUGAAAAGUGCUUGGAUGACUUGUGGCUAGGGGUGAAAUUCCAAUCGAACACGGAUAUAGCUGGUUCUCUCCGAAAUAGCUUUAGGGCUAGCCUCGAUGGCAAGUCUACUGGAGGUAGAGCACUGAAUGGGUGAUGGCCCCACCUCGGGGUACUGAUCUCAAUCAAACUCCGAAUGCCAGAUAGAUAUCAUCGGGAGUCAGACUGUGGGUGAUAAGGUCCAUGGUCAAAAGGGAAAGAGCCCAGACCGCCAGCUAAGGCCCCCAAGUGUCCGUUAAGUGGAAAAGGAUGUGGAGAUGCACAGACAACUAGGAGGUUGGCUUAGAAGCAGCCAUCCUUUAAAGAGUGCGUAAUAGCUCACUAGUCGAGUGACUCUGCGCCGAAAAUGUACCGGGGCUAAACGGACCGCCGAAGCUGCGGAUUGACACUUAGGUGUCAGUGGUAGGAGAGCGUUCUAACAGCGGAGAAGCAGUACCGGAAGGAGCUGUGGAGCGGUUAGAAGUGAGAAUGCCGGUGUGAGUAGCGAAAGAUAGGUGAGAAUCCUAUCCAUCGAAAGCCUAAGGUUUCCAGGGGAAGGCUCGUCCGCCCUGGGUAAGUCGGGACCUAAGGUGAGGCCGAAAGGCGUAGCCGAUGGACAACAGGUUGAUAUUCCUGUACCACUUAUUAAACUGAUGGAGUGACGGAGAAGGCUAAGUUGAGCGUGUUAAUGGAUUCACGUGUAAGCAGUGAGGUGGUCAUGUAGGCAAAUCCGCAUGGCAUAACAUUGAGCUGUGAUGCCGAAGCCGUAUGGCGAAGUCAACUGAUGUCACGCUUCCAAGAAAAGCUUCUAGGGUUAAUUUAGUAAGUGCCCGUACCGAUAACCGACACAGGUAGGCGAGGAGAGAAUCCUAAGAUGAGCGAGAGAACUCUUGUUAAGGAACUCGGCAAAAUGACCCCGUAACUUCGGGAGAAGGGGUGCUUGUGAAAGCAAGCCGCAGUGAAUAGGCCCAGGCGACUGUUUAUCAAAAACACAGGUCUCUGCUAAACCGCAAGGUGAUGUAUAGGGGCUGACGCCUGCCCGGUGCUGGAAGGUUAAGAGGAGAGGUUAGCGCAAGCGAAGCUUUGAAUUGAAGCCCCAGUAAACGGCGGCCGUAACUAUAACGGUCCUA
rnacentral:rRNA from 1 species